CGCUAGAAAUUCCAUGCUUUGAUUCAUGUAAUGGAAUAGAACAGUAAUGAAAUGACUAUAGCCAACCCCAAAGAAACUAUCACUUAGCAAUAAUAAUGAACAUUUUUGACAUGGAUGGUAUUGUAUUUGACUUGUAUACACAGAAAACAUCCAGUAUAUUGAACAUGAAAAAGAACAAAGGACAACUCAAUCGUUUUUCUCUACUCACCUCUUGUGAAGUAGUCAUUAAAUAAGAUUUGAUAUCUAAAAACACAAGCAAAAACAAAAAUCGACAAAUUCACUAGAAGCCAUAGUCCCUUGAAGAAAAUAACAAUUUGUCUAAUUUAUUGCCAGGACUGGAGUCCCGCAGUUGAGCUGAUCACAGGAAAUGUCAUCUCCUUUUGAGCAAUGUAAAUUGAAUAAGAUUUGAAUUUCUCAAGUAUAACCCUCAAAAUUAAAAAUACUGCCAAUACAAUAACCCAAAUAUUGCCAUCCUUCAAAUUGACUAUAAUAAUUUGCAAGCUUGCCACAAAUAACACAUCCCAGAAGCUAUGACCCCUUGGAGAAAACAAGGUUUGAUAAUAUGCCUGAAGUUCUGCAGUGGCUGAAAUCAGUAUAUAACAAUGCAUGAUAUCUUCAACCCAUAAUUUCAAUAUUAGAGCCGCACAUGAGCUGAUCACAACCAUGGCAGAUUUUCCAACUCUUCCCAUCACAUGGUAAUUAACAACUGGACCAAUUUGAUCCAUAAGCAAUAUAACUGGAGCAUGAAGUAGACCUGAUUCUACAUUCUCUAGGUCCAUGGAGAUCGACUGAGGCAAACCUCCUUUUGGCUUCUCCAAUUGACCUGAAAAGCACUUCAGAACUGGAAGUGUUUGGCUCAAGGGGCUUCAAGAUUUUAGAGGAUCAACACGAAACCUCAGCCUUCAUCUUCGUCACCUGCAUAUACUGAAUCUCAACAGAUUAUCAGAGUGUGAACAUUUGAAUGUAUAAGGAGUGCAUUAGGAGUGAGA
rnacentral:misc_RNA from 1 species